rnacentral:rRNA from 1 species
GACGAACGCUGGCGGCGUGCUUAACACAUGCAAGUCGAACGGAAAGGCCUUUUCGGAGGUGCUCGAGUGGCGAACGGGUGGGUAACACGUGGGUGAUCUGCCCUGCACUCUGUUAUAAGCCUGUUAAACUGGGUCUAAUACCUGAUAGGACCGCACUUUAGUGUGUGUGUUGGAGAGUUUUUUCGGUGUAGGAUGGGCCCGCGGCCUAUCAGCUUGUUGGUGGGGUAAUGGCCUACCAAGGCGGCGACUGGUAGCCGGACUGGGAGGUUGGUCGGGCACCUUGGGAAUGAGAUACGGCCCAGACCCCUACGGGAGGCAGCAGUGGGGAAUAUUGCACCAUGGGCGCAAGCCUGAUGCAGCGAAGGCGGGUGGGGGAUGACGGGCUUCGGGUUGUAAACCCCCUUCGCCAGGGACGAAGCGUUUUGUGACGGUAACUGGAGAAGAAGCACCGGCUAACUACGUG